GAGCACGUAGGUGGGUUUGUAAGUCAGAUGUGAAAGCCUUCUGUUCAACGGAAGAAUUGCAUCUGAAACUGCGAGUCUUGAGUGUAGGAGGGGAGAAUGGAACUUCUGGUGGAGCGGUGAAAUGCGUAGAUAUCAGAAGGAACUCCGGCGGCGAAAGCGAUUCUCUGGCCAAUUACUGACACUCAGUGUGCGAAAGCUAGGGGAGCAAACGGGAUUAGAUACCCCGGUAGUCCUAGCCGUAAACGAUGGGCACUAAGUAGAGGGGUUUU
rnacentral:rRNA from 1 species